rnacentral:tRNA from 1 species
AAAAUCCGUCGACUUUAAAAAUCGUGAGGGUUCAAGUCCCUCUAUACAAAACCA